GAUCAUUACCGAGUUUUUUUUUGGCCUUGAGCCAAAAAGUCUCCCACCCUUUGUCUAUUUGAUGCUGUUUAAGCAGCUUCGGCGGGACGACUUCUCGAAGUCGGCUGACGUAUUAUUAUAUAUGUUGGCUUGUGCCUGCCGAAGUAAACUUACAACUCUUAUAAUGUCUGUUGACGUCUGAUAUAAAGCAAGAAAAAUAAAAUCAAAACUUUCAACAACGGAUCUCUUGGUUCUGGCAUCGAUGAAGAACGCAGCGAAAUGCGAUAAGUAGUGUGAAUUGCAGAAUUCAGCGAAUCAUCGAAUCUUUGAACGCACAUUGCGCCUCUUGGUAUUCCUUGAGGCAUGCCUGUUCGAGCGUCGUUUAGACCAUAAGGCUUUGCCUUGCGUUGGGCAGCUUGGCUUCCCAGUUAAUUUGGGAGGCCAAGGGUUCCAAACUGAUUGGCGUCUGAUUUGGCCAAAAACACAGCGAUAUGUGGAUUUUGACAGUCAAUGAAAGACAGCUAGACAACCAAAAUAAAAAAUCGGUCGACCUCGGAUCAAGCAAGACUACCCGCUGAACUUAAGCAUAUCAAUAAGCGGAGGAAAAGAAACCAACAGGGAUUGCCUCAGUAACGGCGAGUGAAGCGGCAACAGCUCAAAUUUGAAAUCUGGCGUAUGCCCGAAUUGUAAUUUGCAGAGGAUGGUUCGGCGAGACCCAAGUCCAAGUCUUCUGGAAGGAAGCGCCAUUGAGGGUGAGAGCCCCGUACGGCUGACGGUUGAGCUAUGUGAACCUCCUUCGAAGAGUCGAGUUGUUUGGGAAUGCAGCUCAAAAUGGGUGGUAAAUUCCAUCUAAAGCUAAAUAUUGGCCAGAGACCGAUAGCGCACAAGUAGAGUGAUCGAAAGAUGAAAAGCACUUUGGAAAGAGAGUGAAACAGUACGUGAAAUUGUUGAAAGGGAAGCGCUUGCGACCAGACUUGAUUUUUCGGUUCAAGGGUUCAUUUGGACCUGGUAUUUCCGUUGAUCAGGCCAGCAUCAGUUCGGACGGUUGGAAAAAAGCGUUGGGAACGUAGCUCCUCGGAGUGUUAUAGCCCUUUGCAGAAUACAGCCAGUCUGGACUGAGGU
rnacentral:rRNA from 1 species